CUGUGCCUUGUUUUACCUAAGCAAAAAUAUCUUGAUUAUCUUGUUUGGUAUUUCUUCUCAAUGUUCUGAUUUAUUUUUAAAUUCCUAAAAAGUGAUUUGGUUUCUUUUUUGCAUUAAACCUGUAAUUAACAACUUUGAAACCAAUCUGGUUCUACUGUCGGGGUAUAAAAGGCCGGACCAAAUUCCAGAUGCACCACAAAUUUCAACCAUGAAGAUCUUCGCUGUCUGCGCUUUCCUGCUCCUCGCCUUGGCAUCCGUUCAGGGCGAUCCCAAGCCCAUAGGCAAAAAUGUUCUCACAAGCACCCAAGGAAAAUAAAAUAUUUUAUUUGAACUGAAUCCGAAUAAACGCAUUGAAUUUAUUGUGUGAAAUAUGUUCAUUAUUGUGCA